UUAAAUUGAAGAGUUUGAUCAUGGCUCAGAUUGAACGCUGGCGGCAGGCCUAACAC
rnacentral:rRNA from 2 species